rnacentral:rRNA from 1 species
UACGAAGGGGGCUAGCGUUGCUCGGAAUCACUGGGCGUAAAGCGCACGUAGGCGGCUUAUUAAGUCGGUGGUGAAAUCCUGGAGCUCAACUCCAGAACUGCCUUCGAUACUGAGAGUCUUGAGUCCGGGAGAGGUGAGUGGAACUGCGAGUGUAGAGGUGAAAUUCGUAGAUAUUCGCAAGAACACCAGUGGCGAAGGCGGCUCACUGGCCCGGUACUGACGCUGAGACGCGAAAGCGUGGGGAGCGAACAGG